rnacentral:lncRNA from 13 species
CUGGGUUUUCAAGCAGUGUUGUUAUUUUGGGAUGUGCUAUUUUGCUACAUUUAUCUCAUUUUAGUUCUGCUCUGUCCGCCAAGUUGACUCUCGCACGGUGUCUCUAUGUCAGAACUUGUCGUGUGUCUCUGCUGUUGGGUGGAACUUCAGACCCACUAGGUGAUGUAAUGCUAGCCUGUGCUCAGUCCCAAAUGACACAUUUUUCACUAUAUAGUGCAAUACCCAUAGGACUCUGGUCAAAAGUAACACACCAUUAGGGAAACUCUCCGGUCCCAGAUUUGUUUUUAAUGCUGUGUAGACAGUCCCUAUGGUCGUUGAAAUGCCAAAACAUGGCUGUAGGAGUUGGCAAGAGAGCAAAAAACAGAUCUGGGACCAGGCUAGAUAUGAUUCAUGGAUGUUUUGGGUUGGUUUGGACGAAUGGAUGGCUAGAUGUUUUUUGAUUUGGUUGGACAAAUGCAGGCAUGUUUUCGAUUUGGUUGGAUGCAUGUCCAGAAUGCUGAAGAGAAAAGAUCGCUGUGACGUUCUCCCAUAACGACAUAUUGUUUUAGUUCCUGUUUCGAUCCUGAAAUGUCCCUCUUUUUCCUCCAGAUCAUCCUGAGAGACGGACACACACAGGGCAGGAGAAUGUACCAGACACUGACGCCUCUUCCAACUCCUGUCAAGCCAACUCCUGUCAAGCCAACUCCUGUCAAGCCAACUCCUGUCAAGCCAACUCCUGUCAAGCCAACUCCUGUCAAGCCAACUCCUGUCAAGCCAACUCCUCUUUUUGUUAAUUACACAAUCAAAAGUCUCUCCCCCUCUGUUUCUCUCUCUCUCCCUCUGUUUCUGUCAUUCUCUCUUUUUCUCUCUCUCAUUGUCUCUCUCUCUCUCGCUCAGCUAUUUCUGUCCCCUCAAUGCCGUGCCACCUCACACAGCGUUGCCGACGUGUUGCUAGGGCCCACGGUGGGAGAGCGAGGAGGAAGUGUUUAUUUGAGAGGGAGGGGGAGACCAAAACCCAGUUCCACAGCAAACUGACGUUUUAGAGUUCCUGCGGGAGUUCUGAUUUGCUCUAGAUUAGCUGGUGUGUGUGUAGUGUGUAGUGUGUGUGUGGCAGAGUGAUUGGCUGUGGGAAUGCUGGUUGCUGGGUCUUGAACUGACCCAUUUCUCCUGUUACUAAUGCUAUCUUCUACUCUAGUUUCUGGACUUAUUUUUACCAGUGUCUGUGAUUACUGUUAGCCCUGAAGUGCCACAACGACAACACUAAUUGCAUUGCUCCUGAAACUUUUAAUUAAACCAUUUUAAUCUCAUCUGACAAGUCUCUCUGAGAGUAUUGUAUGUAUUUAUCACCGCAGUGAGACACUGUCGUAGUGUUGGCUGGUGGUCUUGACCUGAGUCAUGUUCCAAGUUGUACGCACAGUCCUCCUCCACAAAGCUUUCCUUUGCUGUAUCCAUUCUUACCGAACCUAUACCUAUUAUUACUGUCUAUGACUACGUACAGACUACUGCUGCAUAUCUCUACUGUACUUAGCCUACCACUGUAUCUGACUACAGAUUUUACCUGGCUAGAAUACAUGUAGCUGUACUUCUCAUGGGAGUGACAGAAUGACAUCUCAGAGUGCUUAGAUCCAGGACAUGGGGACCCCUGCAAAAACUAUGUCCAUUUUUAAAAACGAUAAACCAUUGUUACUACUAACCCACCCUGAUUGACGAGUAUUUAUCUGAUAUCUCUAACCCUGGAUAGUAUUUAUCUGAUAUCUCUAACCCUGGAUAGUAUUUAUCUGCUAUCUCUAACCCUGGAUAGUAUUUAUCUGCUAUCUCUAACCCUGGAUAGUAUUUAUCUGCUAUCUCUAACCCUGGAUAGUAUUUAUCUGCUAUCUCUAACCCUGGAUAGUAUUUAUCUGCAAUCUCUAACCCUGGAUAGUAUUUAUCUGAUAUCUCCCUUUAACCCUGGAUAGUAUUUAUCUGAUAUCUCCCUUUAACCCUGGAUAGUAUUUAUCUGCUAUCUCUAACUCUGGAUAGUAUUUAUCUGCUAUCUCCCUUUAAUCCUGGAUAGUAUUUAUCUGCUAUCUCUUUAACUCUGGAUAGUAUUUACAGUAGAUAUGGGAGAUAUGUGUCGAACUGCUUUGCUUUAUCUUGGCCAGGUCGCAGUUGUAAAUGAGAACUUGUUCUCAACUUGCCUACCUGGUUAAAUAAAGGUGUUCUCCACUAGCCUACCUGGUUAAAUAAAGGUGUUCUCAACUAGUCUACCUGGUUAAAUAAAGGUGUUCUCAACUAGUCUACCUGGUUAAAUAAAGGUGUUCUCAACUAGCCUACCUGGUUAAAUAAAGGUGUUCUCAACUAGUCUACCUGGUUAAAUAAAGGUGUUCUCAACUAGCCUACCUGGUUAAAUAAAGGUGUUCUCAACUAGUCUACCUGGUUAAAUAAAGGUGUUCUCAACUAGCCUACCUGGUUAAAUAAAGGUGUUCUCAACUAGUCUACCUGGUUAAAUAAAGGUGUUCUCAACUAGUCUACCUGGUUAAAUAAAGGUGUUCUCAACUAGUCUACCUGGUUAAAUAAAGGUGUUCUCAACUAGUCUACCUGGUUAAAUAAAGGUGUUCUCAACUAGUCUACCUGGUUAAAUAAAGGUGUUCUCAACUAGUCUACCUGGUUAAAUAAAGGUGUUCUCAACUACUCUACCUGGUUAAAUAAAGGUGUUCUCAACUAGUCUACCUGGUUAAAUAAAGGUGUUCUCAACUAGCCUACCUGGUUAAAUAAAGGUGUUCUCAACUAGUCUACCUGGUUAAAUAAAGGUGUUCUCAACUAGUCUACCUGGUUAAAUAAAGGUGUUCUCAACUAGUCUACCUGGUUAAAUAAAGGUGUUCUCAACUAGUCUACCUGGUUAAAUAAAGGUGUUCUCAACUAGUCUACCUGGUUAAAUAAAGGUGUUCUCAACUAGUCUACCUGGUUAAAUAAAGGUGUUCUCAACUAGUCUACCUGGUUAAAUAAAGGUGUUCUCAACUGGCCUACCUGGUUAAAUAAAGGUGUUCUCAACUAGUCUACCUGGUUAAAUAAAGGUGGAAAUAAAAAAAUACAUUUAAAGUUGAUCAAAAUUGGGAUUUUGUUUUCGAGGUUCUUUGUGGAUCUGUGUAAUCUGAUGGGGAAUACGUGCCUCUAAAUAUGGUCGUACAUUUGUCAGGAGGUUAGGGAAGUGGGGCUCUCUGUCUCCCUCGCUCUCUCUCCACCACACUCCCAAAGCCCCAUAAGGAAACACGGCUUCUGUAGAACUCAAACAGCCACCCACUCAAAAUCAAUACUCUUAAAACACCGUCUUCAACUUUGUUGCUUUGAUUCUUAUUUAUAGAUGCUGUGCUUCUCUGCUAAAUGGAAGAACCCUUUUCUAAAAAAGGAACACUCUGUCUCUGUGUGUCUGCGUUCUCUCCUGUUGAUUUAUUCAUCUCUGAGAGGUGGAUUGCAGCAACGCGACAGUGAGUGUCAGCGUGUUUCUUCCAGCAGUUUCAGCGCCAGCUAAAGUGGUUCACUUAACUCUGUUAAUAAACACUGUGUAAGAGGUUGUCAUUCGCACUCGUCUUUACACACACACACCAAGUGGCCAAUCCCAACUUAAGUCAACGUUUCACUUAAUCAUUGAUGUGAAUGGGAGACUGUGAACAUGUAAGUGGAAGCUAGGACAUCCGGCACCGAUAGAGAUGGCCGCCUCGCUUCUAGUCCUUAGGAAACUAUGCAGUAUUUUUUUGUAUUUUUUAUGUAUUAUUUCUUACAUUGUUACCCCAGGAAAUCUUAAGUCUUAUUACAUAGAGCCGGGAAGAACUAUUGGAUAUAAGA